rnacentral:rRNA from 1 species
AGUCGAGGGGCAGCGCGGGAUAGCAAUAUUCUGGCGGCGACCGGCGGAAGGGUGCGUAACGCGUGAGCGACAUGCCCGUUGCCCGGGGACAACCGGUGGAAACGCCGACUAAUCCCCGAUGGGAUAUUGUGCCGCAUGGCACGAUAUUGAAAGUUACGGCGGCGACGGAUUGGCUCGCGUCCGAUUAGCUUGUUGGCGGGGUAACGGCCCACCAAGGCUACGAUCGGUAGGGGUCCUGAGAGGAAGGCCCCCCACAAUGGGACUGAGACACGGCCCAUACUCCUACGGGAGGCAGCAGUGAGGAAUAUUGGUCAAUGGGCGGAAGCCUGAACCAGCCAUGCCGCGUGCGGGAAGGAGGCCCUAUGGGCUGUGAACCGCUUUUGCCUGGGGGCAAUAAGGGCGUCGCGCACGCCCGAUGAGAGUACCAGGCGAAUAAGCAUCGGCUAACUCCGUGCCAGCAGCCGCGGUAAUACGGGGGAUGCGAGCGUUAUCCGGAUUCAUUGGGUUUAAAGGGUGCGUAGGCUGUGCGUCAAGUCGGGGGUGAAAUUCCGGUGCUCA